CUGAGAGGAAGGUCCCCCACAUUGGAACUGAGACACGGUCCAAACUCCUACGGGAGGCAGCAGUGAGGAAUAUUGGCCAAUGGACGGGAGUUUGAACCAGCCAAGUAGCGUGAAGGAUGACUGCCCUAUGGGUUGUAAACUUCUUUUAUAAGGGAAUAAAGUUUUCCACGUGAGGAAAUUUGUAUGUACCAUAUGAAUAAGGAU
rnacentral:rRNA from 1 species